rnacentral:rRNA from 1 species
UACAGAGGUCCCGAGCGUUGUUCGGAAUUAUUGGGCGUAAAGGGUGCGUAGGCGGUAGGAUAAGUUAGAUGUGAAAUGUCGGCGCUUAACGUCGAACCUGCAUUUAAGACUGUCCUGCUUGAGCGCUAGAGAGGAGUCUGGAAUUUACGGUGUAGCAGUGAAAUGCGUAGAUAUCGUAAGGAAGGCCAGUGGCGAAGGCGGCUCACUGGCCCGAUACUGACGCUGAGGCACGAAGGUCAGGGGAGCAAACGGG